rfam:Danio rerio chromosome 17 genomic contig CTG1671, GRCz11 reference primary assembly.
GCCGGCAGCUAGCUCUCUGCAACUCUCACAUGGUCGCCCACUGAAGCUAAGCAGGGCUGCGCCCGGUCAGUACCUGGAUGGGAGACCACAUGGGAAAGCUAGGUUGCUGUUGGAA